rnacentral:rRNA from 1 species
AAGCGCUUGCAAUCAGACUUGCUUGCAGCCGAUCAUCUGGUGUUCUCACCAGUGCACUCGGUUGUGAUCAGGCCAGCAUCAGUUUGGACGGUUGGAUAAAGGCCUUGGGAAUGUAGCUUCUCUCGGGGAGUGUUAUAGCCCUUGGUGCAAUGCAACCAGUCUGGACUGAGGACCGCGCUUCGGCUAGGAUGCUGGCGUAAUGAUUGUAAGCGA